rnacentral:rRNA from 1 species
AUUGAACGCUGGCGGCAGGCCUAACACAUGCAAGUCGAACGGUAGCACAGAGGAGCCUGCUCCUUGGGUGACGAGUGGCGGACGGGUGAGUAAUGUCUGGGAAACUGCCCGAUGGAGGGGGAUAACUACUGGAAACGGUAGCUAAUACCGCAUAACGUCGCAAGACCAAAGAGGGGGACCUUCGGGCCUCUUGCCAUCGGAUGUGCCCAGAUGGGAUUAGCUAGUAGGUGGGGUAACGGCUCACCUAGGCGACGAUCCCUAGCUGGUCUGAGAGGAUGACCAGCCACACUGGAACUGAGACACGGUCCAGACUCCUACGGGAGGCAGCAGUGGGGAGUAUUGCACAUGGGCGCAAGCCUGAUGCAGCCAUGCCGCGUGUAUGAAGAAGGCCUUCGGGUUGUAAAGUACUUUCAGCGGGGAGGAAGGGGUUAAGGUUAAUAACCUUAGCCAUUGACGUUACCCGCAGAAGAAGCACCGGCUAACUCCGUGCCAGCCGCCGCCGUAA